rnacentral:lncRNA from 1 species
CUGUCGUGACUUGCUGAGACAAAUGAAUCCCCCCCAGUGCGUGACACUGAGGUGACCGUGUUCUGUCUUGCCCUUUGACCCCAGGGAGACGAGGACCUGCUGACAGUAUACAUAGGAGAGAUCUUCCUGGAGUUCGUCAAUAUGCUGCCCGCCUUCCAGACAUACUGCCUGCAGCAGUCCACCUCGGUCAACAUGCUCAACACCCUGGAGAAGGAGAAAGAACUGCUCCGGAUCUUCCUGGAUGUUUCCCAGAACGACAACACGGCGCUGCGUCGCAUGAACUUGCGCUCCUUCCUCAUAGCGCCGCUCCAACGCGUGACCAAAUACCCGCUUCUGUUGAGCCGCAUCAUCAAGGUCACUCCCGAGUGCCACCCGGACUACGCGCGUCUCCGCGAGGCCAAGAGCCGCGUGGAGUCCCACCUGGAGCACAUCAACAUGAAGACCAAGCAGGAGGGCAACGGCGUCACCUGGUCCCUCCGCUCAUUCCGCCGCGACAGCCGCAAGAACCGGGAGGUGAUCAACAUCGAGAUGCGAGAGGUGUCGAUGAAGACGGUGGGCUGGGCGAGAGAAAACACGCGCUUCGUCAUGGAGGGCCCGCUUCAGUUGUCCCAGCCAGCGGACGGUCAGUGGGUGAAGAAAGGCACCAAGGCCCUCAAGUUUCAAAACGUUCAGAGUCUGCUGAUGGUGAGGACACAGCGGGUGGGUGAAGCACCGGGACAGGGCAACGACCUGGGGGCACGGGGAGAUCAGGGGGAAGGUGGCGGCUGUGGUGAGAGCAUUCGAGACGGAGUGCUGGUUCUAAUCAAGGACAAAAGCAGCGGGAAGUUCACCGUGCUGAGAGAGCCCAUCCGACUGGGGAACUGUGUGGUUUCCACAGAUCCAGACUGCGAGGACACAUUCGAGGUCCUCGAUAUCCGGCGGGAGUCUUUCGUUUUCCGCGCCUCAGACAAAUCUCGCACCCAGCAGUGGUUCCAUCAGAUUAAGAGAUACACUCGGGACUUGGGCACCUGGAGGAAAAGACGCAACGCUUUACCCAACAUCAUGAUCAACACAAACCAGAGCCGCUCCUGA